GCCACGGUGGUCCAGCGGUUAGAACGCUGGCCUUGUAAUCCUGGGGUCUCGGGUUCGAUUCCCGACGGUGCCC
rfam:Zootermopsis nevadensis contig18588, whole genome shotgun sequence.